AGUGACCUUGGGGUUGUAAUUGAUGAAAAUAUGGCCCCGCGCCUGAUCAAUGGUGUGAAACAAGGGGUUCCAGAUGAACAUUGGCAGCAUGUAGCCGGGCAGGGAAUUCGCGAGUACCAUCUUGCCGGAGAACAACAUGUUCGACCGCUG
rnacentral:ncRNA from 1 species